GACGAACGCUGGCGGCGUGCUUAACACAUGCAAGUCGAACGCUGAAGCUCAGCUUUUGUUGGGUGGAUGAGUGGCGAACGGGUGAGUAACACGUGAGUAACCUGCCCCCUUCUUUGGGAUAACGCCCGGAAACGGGUGCUAAUACUGGAUAUUCACUGGUCUUCGCAUGGGGGUUGGUGGAAAGGGUUUUUCUGGUGGGGGAUGGGCUCGCGGCCUAUCAGCUUGUUGGUGGGUGAUGGCCUACCAAGGCUUUGACGGGUAGCCGGCCUGAGAGGGUGACCGGUCACAUUGGGAGUGAGAUACGGCCCAGACUGCGACGGGAGGCAGCAGUGGGGAAUAUUGCGCAAUGGGCGCAAGCCUGAUGCAGCGACGCCGCGUGAGGGAUGGAGGCCUUCGGGUUGUGAACCUCUUUCGCUCAUGGUCAAGCCGCAACAAUGGUUGUGGUGAGGGUAGUGGGUAAAGAAGCGCCGGCUAACUACGUG
rnacentral:rRNA from 1 species